rnacentral:misc_RNA from 1 species
UACGGAGGGUGCAAGCGUUAAUCGGAGUUACUGGGCGUAAAGCGCGCGUAGGCGGCUUGGUAAGUCGGAUGUGAAAGCCCAGGGCUUAACCUUGGAAUUGCAUUCGAUACUGCUGAACUAGAGUAUGGUAGAGUGAAGUGGAAGGUCCGGUGUAGCGGUGAAAUGCGUAGAUAUCGGAAGGAACACCAGUGGAGAAGGCGACAUCCUGGGCCAAUACUGACGCUGAGGUGCGAAAGCGUGGGGAGCAAACAGG